rnacentral:rRNA from 1 species
CCUACGGUGUGCAGCAGUGGGGAAUAUUGCACAAUGGGGGGAACCCUGAUGCAGCGACGCCGCGUGAGUGAAGAAGUAUUUCGGUAUGUAAAGCUCUAUCAGCAGGGAAGAUAAUGACGGUACCUGACUAAGAAGCCCCGGCUAACUACGUGCCAGCAGCCGCGGUAAUACGUAGGGGGCAAGCGUUAUCCGGAUUUACUGGGUGUAAAAGGUGCGUAGGUGGCAGGGCAAGUCAGAUGUGAAAGCCCGGGGCCCAACCCCGGUACUGCAUUUGAAACUGUCCGGCUGGGGUGCAGGAGAGGUAAGCGGAAUUCCUAGGGUAGCGGUGAAAUGCGUAGAUAUUAGGAGGAACACCAGUGGCGAAGGCGGCUUACUGGACUGUAACUGACACUGAGGCACGAAAGCGUGGGGAGCAAACAGGAGUAGAUACCCUUGUAGUC